rnacentral:rRNA from 1 species
UACGGAGGGUGCAAGCGUUAACCGGAUUCACUGGGUUUAAAGGGUGCGUAGGUUGAUAGGUAAGUCAGUGGUGAAAUACUCCGACUCAAUCGGAGAACUGCCGUUGAUACUAUCUAUCUUGAAUACGGUGGAGGCGGGCGGAAUGCGUCAUGUAGUGGUGAAAUACUUAGAUAUGACGCAGAACACCUAUUGCGAAGGCAGCUCGCUACACCGGCAUUGACACUGAGGCACGAAAGCGUGGGGAUCAAACAGG